UCUUUAUCACCGAGUGCUUGCACUCACCGAUAAAGAGUUGAGUGGCGAACGGGUGAGUAACACGUGGGCAACCUGCCCAAAGAGGGGGAUAACACUUGGGAAACAGGUGCUAAUACCGCAUAACCAUAGUUACCACAUGGUAACUAUGUAAAAGGUGGCUAUGCUACCGCUUUUUGGAUGGGCCCGCGGCGCAUUAGCUAGUUGGUGGGGUAAAGGCUUACCAAGGCAAUGAUGCGUAGCCGAACUGAGAGGGUUGAUCGGCCACAUUGGGACUGAGACACGGCCCAAACUCCUACGGGAGGCAGCAGUAGGGAAUCUUCCACAAUGGGGCGAAAGCCUGAGUGGAGCAACGCCGCGUGGGGUGAAGAAGGUCUUCGGAUCGUAAAACCCUGUUGUUAGAGAAGAAAGUGCGUGAGAGUAACUGUUCACGUUUCGACGGUAUCUAACCAGAAAGCCACGGCUAACUACGUGCCAGCAGCCGCGGUAA
rnacentral:rRNA from 1 species